rnacentral:rRNA from 1 species
GAUCCUGGCUCAGAACGAACGCUGGCGGCGCGUCUUAAGCAUGCAAGUCGAAUGGCAAGAUAGAGCUUGCUCUAUCCUAGAAUGGCGGACUGGUGAGUAACGCGUGGGUGACGUACCCUUUAGAUGGGGAUAGCUGGUAGAAAUAUCAGAUAAUACCGAAUAAGCUGUAACUCUUUAGAGGGGUUACAGGAAAGGAUCUUUUGAUCCGCUGAAGGAGCGGCCCGCGUACUAUUAGCUAGUUGGUGAGGUAACGGCCCACCAAGGCGAUGAUAGUUACCCGGCCUAAGAGGGUGAUCGGGCACAUUGGGACUGAGAUACGGCCCAGACCCCUACGGGAGGCAGCAGCUAAGAAUAUUCCGCAAUGGACGAAAGUCUGACGGGGCGACGCCGCGUGGAUGAUGAAGGCCGGAAGGUUGUAAAAUCCUUUUAAGUGUGAAGAAUAAGUAGUGUGAGAGAAACGCAUUAUGGUGACGGUAACACUUGAAUAAGAGGCGGCUAAUUACGUGCCAGCAGCCGC